AGCAGCCGCGGUAAUUCCAGCUCCAAUAGCGUAUAUUAAAGUUGUUGCAGUUAAAAAGCUCGUAGUUGAAUUUCGGGAUUAGUACGUUGGUCGUGCCUUCGGUACGUACUGGUGUUACUGAUUCCUACCUUCUGACGAACCAUCAUGUCAUUAAUUUGGUGUGGCGGGGAAUCAGGACUGUUACUUUGAAAAAAUUAGAGUGUUUAAAGCAGGCUCGCGCUUGAAUACAUUAGCAUGGAAUAAUGAAAUAGGACGUUGACCCUAUUUUGUUGGUUUCUAGGAUUGACGUAAUGAUUAAUAGGGAUAGUUGGGGGCAUUAGUAUUCAAUUGUCAGAGGUGAAAUUCUUGGAUUUAUUGAAGACUAACUACUGCGAAAGCAUUUGCCAAGGAUGUUUUCAUUAAUCAAGAACGAAAGUUAGGGGAUCGAAGACGAUCAGAUACCGUCGUAGUCUUAACCAUAAACUAUGCCGACUAGGGAUCGGAUGAUGUUAUUUUUAAUGACUCAUCGCGCU
rnacentral:rRNA from 1 species